AUUGAACGCUGGCGGCAGGCCUAACACAUGCAAGUCGAGCGGAUGAAGGGAGCUUGCUCCUGGAUUCAGCGUCGGACGGGUGAGUAAUGCCUAUGAAUCUGCCUGGUAGUGUUGGAUAACGUCCUUAAACGGGCGCUAAUACCGCAUACGUCCUGAUGGUGAACGUUUGGGUUCUUCGUACCUCUCGCUCUCAUAUGAUCCUAGGUCGGAUUAGCUAGUUGGUGGGGUAAAGGCCUACCAAGGCGACGAUCCGUAACUGGUCUGAGAGGAUGAUCAGUCAAACUGGAACGGAGAAACGGUACAGACUAAGACGGGAGGCAGCAGUGGGGAAUAUUGGACAAUGGGCGAAAGAAUGAUACAGAAAAGCCGAGUGUGUGAAGAAGGUCUUCGGAUUGUAAAGCACUUUAAGUUGGGAGGAAGGGAAGUAAGUUAAUACCUUGCUGUUUUGACGUUAACAACAGAAUAAGCACCGGCUAACUUCGUG
rnacentral:rRNA from 1 species